rnacentral:rRNA from 1 species
UGCGCAGGCGGUUCGUUAAGUCGGAUGUGAAAUCUCACAGCCUAACUGUGAUAGGUCAUUCGAAACUGGCGGACUCGAGGGCUGGAGAGGAGACUGGAAUAGUCGGUGUAGCGGUGAAAUGCGUAGAGAUCGACUAGAACACCGGUGGCGAAGGCGAGUCUCUGGACAGUUCCUGACGCUCAGGCAAAGCCCAGGGGACGCGAAACG